GUUUCUCGCUUUUUUUUUACACCUGGGUGGUGGAAUUGGUAGACACACAGGACUUAAAAUCCUGUGAUCAUUGUGAUCGUACGGGUUCAAAUCCCGUCCCGGGUA
rnacentral:tRNA from 1 species